AAAAGACCAUAAAAGAAAUGGG
rnacentral:rRNA from 1 species